rnacentral:lncRNA from 1 species
UUAGCAGAUUUGGAUCCAGUGAUUGUUACAUUCUGGUACUGAGCCCCUGAAUUACUUCUUUGAGUAAGGCAUUAUACCAAAGCUAUUGAUAGUUGGGCUUAUAGGGUGUAUGUUUGAAGAACUACUAAUGUCAAAACCAAUAUUUCACGGUCGACAAGAGGACAUCAGAACUGGUAAUCCUUAUUACCAUGACUGGCUGGACAGAAUACUCAAUGUAAUGGGAUUUCCUGCAAAUAAAGACGGGGAAGAUAUAAAAAAGAUGCCUGAACAUUCAACAUUAAUGAAAGAUUUCAGAAGAAAUAUGUAUACUAACUGCAGCCUUAUCAAGUAUAUGGAAAAACACAAAGUUAAACCAGAUAGUAAAGCAUUCCACUUGCUUCAGAAGUUUCUUACUAUGGACCCAAUAAAGUGAAUUACCUGAGAACGGGGUCCCUGUUUCUUCGAAGACCCACUUCCUACGUCAGACGUUUUCACCAGUUGUCAAAUCCCCUACCCAAAAUGAGAAUUUUUAACAGAAGAAGAACCUGAUGACAAAGGAGCCAAAAAG